AGCGCAUACGGUGGAUGCCUUGGCAGUCAGAGGCGAUGAAAGACGUGGUAGCCUGCGAUAAGCUUCGGGGAGUCGGCAAACAGACUUUGAUCCGGAGAUCUCUGAAUGGGGGAACCCACCUAGGAUAACCUAGGUAUCUUGUACUGAAUCCAUAGGUGCAAGAGGCGAACCAGGGGAACUGAAACAUCUAAGUACCCUGAGGAAAAGAAAUCAACCGAGAUUCCCUUAGUAGUGGCGAGCGAACGGGGAUUAGCCCUUAAGCUUCAUUGAUUUUAGCGGAACGCUCUGGAAAGUGCGGCCAUAGUGGGUGAUAGCCCUGUACGCGAAAGGAUCUUUGAAGUGAAAUCGAGUAGGACGGAGCACGAGAAACUUUGUCUGAACAUGGGGGGACCAUCCUCCAAGGCUAAAUACUACUGACUGACCGAUAGUGAACCAGUACCGUGAGGGAAAGGCGAAAAGAACCCCGGAGAGGGGAGUGAAAUAGAACCUGAAACCGUAUGCGUACAAGCAGUGGGAGCCUACUUGUUAGGUGACUGCGUACCUUUUGUAUAAUGGGUCAGCGACUUAUAUUCAGUGGCGAGCUUAACCGAAUAGGGUAGGCGUAGCGAAAGCGAGUCUUAAUAGGGCGUUUAGUCGCUGGGUAUAGACCCGAAACCGGGCGAUCUAUCCAUGAGCAGGUUGAAGGUUAGGUAACACUGACUGGAGGACCGAACCCACUCCCGUUGAAAAGGUAGGGGAUGACUUGUGGAUCGGAGUGAAAGGCUAAUCAAGCUCGGAGAUAGCUGGUUCUCCUCGAAAGCUAUUUAGGUAGCGCCUCAUGUAUCACUCUGGGGGGUAGAGCACUGUUUCGGCUAGGGGGUCAUCCCGACUUACCAAACCGAUGCAAACUCCGAAUACCCAGAAGUGCCGAGCAUGGGAGACACACGGCGGGUGCUAACGUCCGUCGUGAAAAGGGAAACAACCCAGACCGCCAGCUAAGGUCCCAAAGUUGUGGUUAAGUGGUAAACGAUGUGGGAAGGCUUAGACAGCUAGGAGGUUGGCUUAGAAGCAGCCAUCCUUUAAAGAAAGCGUAAUAGCUCACUAGUCGAGUCGGCCUGCGCGGAAGAUGUAACGGGGCUCAAACCACACACCGAAGCUGCGGGUGUCACGUAAGUGACGCGGUAGAGGAGCGUUCUGUAAGCCUGUGAAGGUGAGUUGAGAAGCUUGCUGGAGGUAUCAGAAGUGCGAAUGCUGACAUGAGUAACGACAAUGGGUGUGAAAAACACCCACGCCGAAAGACCAAGGGUUCCUGCGCAACGUUAAUCGACGCAGGGUUAGUCGGUUCCUAAGGCGAGGCUGAAAAGCGUAGUCGAUGGGAAACAGGUUAAUAUUCCUGUACUUCUGGUUACUGCGAUGGAGGGACGGAGAAGGCUAGGCCAGCUUGGCGUUGGUUGUCCAAGUUUAAGGUGGUAGGCUGAAAUCUUAGGUAAAUCCGGGGUUUCAAGGCCGAGAGCUGAUGACGAGUCGUCUUUUAGAUGACGAAGUGGUUGAUGCCAUGCUUCCAAGAAAAGCUUCUAAGCUUCAGGUAACCAGGAACCGUACCCCAAACCGACACAGGUGGUCGGGUAGAGAAUACCAAGGCGCUUGAGAGAACUCGGGUGAAGGAACUAGGCAAAAUGGCACCGUAACUUCGGGAGAAGGUGCGCCGGCUAGGGUGAAGGAUUUACUCCGUAAGCUCUGGCUGGUCGAAGAUACCAGGCCGCUGCGACUGUUUAUUAAAAACACAGCACUCUGCAAACACGAAAGUGGACGUAUAGGGUGUGACGCCUGCCCGGUGCCGGAAGGUUAAUUGAUGGGGUUAGCGCAAGCGAAGCUCUUGAUCGAAGCCCCGGUAAACGGCGGCCGUAACUAUAACGGUCCUAAGGUAGCGAAAUUCCUUGUCGGGUAAGUUCCGACCUGCACGAAUGGCGUAACGAUGGCGGCGCUGUCUCCACCCGAGACUCAGUGAAAUUGAAAUCGCUGUGAAGAUGCAGUGUAUCCGCGGCUAGACGGAAAGACCCCGUGAACCUUUACUGUAGCUUUGCACUGGACUUUGAGCCUGCUUGUGUAGGAUAGGUGGGAGGCUUUGAAGCGUGGACGCCAGUUCGCGUGGAGCCAUCCUUGAAAUACCACCCUGGCAUGCUUGAGGUUCUAACUCUGGUCCGUGAUCCGGAUCGAGGACAGUGUAUGGUGGGCAGUUUGACUGGGGCGGUCUCCUCCUAAAGAGUAACGGAGGAGUACGAAGGUGCGCUCAGACCGGUCGGAAAUCGGUCGCAGAGUAUAAAGGCAAAAGCGCGCUUGACUGCGAGACAGACACGUCGAGCAGGUACGAAAGUAGGUCUUAGUGAUCCGGUGGUUCUGUAUGGAAGGGCCAUCGCUCAACGGAUAAAAGGUACUCCGGGGAUAACAGGCUGAUACCGCCCAAGAGUUCAUAUCGACGGCGGUGUUUGGCACCUCGAUGUCGGCUCAUCACAUCCUGGGGCUGAAGCCGGUCCCAAGGGUAUGGCUGUUCGCCAUUUAAAGUGGUACGCGAGCUGGGUUUAGAACGUCGUGAGACAGUUCGGUCCCUAUCUGCCGUGGACGUUUGAGAUUUGAGAGGGGCUGCUCCUAGUACGAGAGGACCGGAGUGGACGAACCUCUGGUGUUCCGGUUGUCACGCCAGUGGCAUUGCCGGGUAGCUAUGUUCGGAAAAGAUAACCGCUGAAAGCAUCUAAGCGGGAAACUUGCCUCAAGAUGAGAUCUCACUGGGAACUUGAUUCCCCUGAAGGGCCGUCGAAGACUACGACGUUGAUAGGCUGGGUGUGUAAGCGUUGU
rnacentral:rRNA from 1 species